GCGGGCGUAGUUCAGUGGUAGAAUGUCUCGUUGCCAACGAGAAGGUCGCCGGUUCAAGUCCGGUCGCCCGCUCCA
rnacentral:tRNA from 2 species